rnacentral:sRNA from 1 species
GCCAGGUGUGGUGGCGCAUGCCUGUAACCCCAGCAGCUCGGGAGGCUGAAGCAGGAGUGUUGCAAGUUCCAGUCCAGCCUCAGCAAUUUAGCUAGACCCUGUCUUUA